CACGUAGGGGCCGAGCGUUGUCCGGAGUUACUGGGCGUAAAGCGCGCGCAGGCGGUCGAGUGCAUCUCUGGUGAAAGCCCCGGGCUCAACCCGGGAGGGUCCAGGGAGAUGGCUUGACUGGAGGCAGGGCGAGGGCGGUGGAAUUCCGGGUGUAGUGGUGAAAUGCGUAGAGAUCCGGAGGAACACCAGUGGCGAAGGCGGCCGCCUGGACCUGUCCUGACGCUGAGGCGCGAAGGCGUGGGGAGCGAACGGG
rnacentral:rRNA from 1 species